rnacentral:tRNA from 1 species
GGGUGUGUAGCUCAGUGGUAGUCUACCACUGGUAGAGCGGCUGACUGCAGAUCAGCAGGUCCUUAGCUUCCGAUGUAACCUCCAAUCCGGCCGAACCCU